rnacentral:misc_RNA from 1 species
GGAAGUAAAAGUUGUAACAAGGUUUCCGUAGGUGAACCUGCGGAAGGAUCAUUAUUGUAUAACCGAGGUGCGAGGGCUGUCGCUGACCCGAAAGGUCGUGCACGCCCGAGUGCCCUCACACACAUCCAUCUCACCCCUAUGUGCACCACCGCGUGGGUCCCCCUUUGGCUUGUUCGGAGGGGGGCUUACGUUUUCACACAAACUUUGUAUGCAGUGUAGAAUGUAUUUUUUGUUUUUGCGAUCACGCAAUCAAUACAACUCUCGACAACGGAUCUCUUGGCUCUC